rnacentral:rRNA from 1 species
GCAAAAGGAGGGGGUGCUAUACAUGCAAGGUCGAGCGAACGGACGAGAAGCUUGCUUCUCUGAUGUUAGCGGCGGACGGGUGAGUAACACGUGGAUAACCUACCUAUAAGACUGGGAUAACUUCGGGAAACCGGAGCUAAUACCGGAUAAUAUUUUGAACCGCAUGGUUCAAAAGUGAAAGACGGUCUUUCUGUCACUUAUAGAUGGAUCCGCGCUGCAUUAGCUAGUUGGUAAGGUAACGGCUUACCAAGGCAACGAUGCAUAGCCGACCUGAGAGGGUGAUCGGCCACACUGGAACUGAGACACGGUCCAGACUCCUACGGGAGGCAGCAGUAGGGAAUCUUCCGCAAUGGGCGAAAGCCUGACGGAGCAACGCCGCGUGAGUGAUGAAGGUCUUCGGAUCGUAAAACUCUGUUAUUAGGGAAGAACAUAUGUGUAAGUAACUGUGCACAUCUUGACGGUACCUAAUCAGAAAGCCACGGCUAACUACGUGCCAGCAGCCGCGGUAAUACGUAGGUGGCAAGCGUUAUCCGGAAUUAUUGGGCGUAAAGCGCGCGUAGGCGGUUUUUUAAGUCUGAUGUGAAAGCCCACGGCUCAACCGUGGAGGGUCAUUGGAAACUGGAAAACUUGAGUGCAGAAGAGGAAAGUGGAAUUCCAUGUGUAGCGGUGAAAUGCGCAGAGAUAUGGAGGAACACCAGUGGCGAAGGCGACUUUCUGGUCUGUAACUGACGCUGAUGUGCGAAAGCGUGGGGAUCAAACAGGAUUAGAUACCCUGGUAGUCCACGCCGUAAACGAUGAGUGCUAAGUGUUAGGGGGUUUCCGCCCCUUAGUGCUGCAGCUAACGCAUUAAGCACUCCGCCUGGGGAGUACGACCGCAAGGUUGAAACUCAAAGGAAUUGACGGGGACCCGCACAAGCGGUGGAGCAUGUGGUUUAAUUCGAAGCAACGCGAAGAACCUUACCAAAUCUUGACAUCCUUUGACAACUCUAGAGAUAGAGCCUUCCCCUUCGGGGGACAAAGUGACAGGUGGUGCAUGGUUGUCGUCAGCUCGUGUCGUGAGAUGUUGGGUUAAGUCCCGCAACGAGCGCAACCCUUAAGCUUAGUUGCCAUCAUUAAGUUGGGCACUCUAAGUUGACUGCCGGUGACAAACCGGAGGAAGGUGGGGAUGACGUCAAAUCAUCAUGCCCCUUAUGAUUUGGGCUACCACGUGCUACAUGGACAAUACAAAGGGCAGCGAAACCGCGAGGUCAGCAAAUCCCAAAAAGUUGUUCCCAUUCGGAUGGACCCGGAACCACCAAUGAAACGGAAACCCUAAAACCAAAAAACCGGCCCCGGGAAAAAUUCCC